UUCUAAUGAUGAUUUCAAGGGGAAGAACCAGCAGCAACAAUGUCUCCAGCGUCAAAAGACCCCAGUUGACGGAGAAGGUGGCGGAAAACCCGAAUGGAAUCACAUGAUGCAUUUUGAUCUCAAAUCCAUCUCCCUCCCUGAUCAGGGCGAUCAUCUAUUUCUCGUUUUCAAAUUACGCUGCGCAGGUGUAAUCUAUGGCAAAAGAUCUAUUGGGGAAGUUCGCGUUCCAUUCAAGGACUUGAUUGAUGAGUUCAACGGCACUAUCAGGUUUGUGAGUUAUCAGGUUCGAACGAGUGAAGGUAAGCCUAAUGGAGUCUUGAAUUUUUCCUAUAAGGUGAAAGGGAAGGCUGAGAAGAAAGGAGAUGCUUCUCCGACUCCGAGAUUAGUUUUCCCAGCUAGAACUAAAAUUCAUUUGUCUCCAGAGAAAGUCCAUUGCCCACCAUUGCAAGCUCAAGUUCGGUCGCAAGACAAGUGCUUAUAUCCUUCCCUGGAUGACAUCCGCUCUCCUCUACCAGAAAUCAGCGGUCCUUCUCCACAAUCUUAUAUUAUGCCUCCAUCGCCAUUUCCAUUCCAACUGCCCGCUUUCACAGUAGGUCAUGGUCCCUGUCCAUCGCCAUUGGUACAGAUUCCAGGGUCACAUU
rnacentral:misc_RNA from 1 species